rnacentral:rRNA from 1 species
UACGAAGGACCCGAGCGUUAUCCGGAUUUAUUGGGUUUAAAGGGUGCGUAGGUGGGCAGGUAAGUCAGUGGUGAAAUCUUCAAGCUUAACUUGGAAACUGCCAUUGAUACUAUUUGUCUUGAAUUAUCUGGAGGUAAGCGGAAUAUGUCAUGUAGCGGUGAAAUGCUUAGAUAUGACAUAGAACACCCAUUGCGAAGGCAGCUUACUACGGAUAUAUUGACACUGAGGCACGAAAGCGUGGGGAUCAAACAGG